ACAGCUUUACAAUCAACAUCUUUUAUUGCACAUAGUCUAAAAAUCACUCUGUCAGAGAACAGCAAGUGGCUCACAGGAGGGAAAAGACUCGUGUGGGCAAAACGCGUCUAAUUAAACGUAUUUUCUCCUAUCGAAGCAGCUGUCGUAAAAGUAUAACAGUGGUUGAGAAAAAAAAAAAAAGUCACAUAUUCAUAUAAACUUGGCACAAACACUGAACAGUGUAAUUUAAAGCACUUAGAGACCAUGGCUGUGCUACAUGGAGUCUGUCCUCGACAGUCUAGACGAAAAGCUGCUCCUGUACAGUGCGGCGCCAAACACGUCAGUCAGCACACUCGGCUCGCGUCGACGUCCGCAGGAACCGGUCGACUGGCAGAAGAAAAAAACAACAAAAAAAAAAACAGAGGCUGCUAGUACAAACACGUCUCGGUUAGAAGAGGGUUAUCUAGUACAUUCAGCUGCUAACUGGCUCUUUGGAGGGCGAGUCUGGUGAUGUGCAGGAGUUUCUCACUGUCAACAAAGUCCAUGAAAAGAAUCAAACUGAGGCUUAUUUUAAUUUUGGGAGACGUUCCCACCGCAUCGUUUUUCAGCACGCUUUUCAAAAACUCUCUAACCGUACCUUCUGAGAUUAUCUGAUCAAUUUUGUGUGUGUGUGUGUGUCUAAUUACACAGAUUUUGAGGGGUUUGAGGAAUGGCGGGAAACUCAAACAAGCCGCGAAAAAAACUUCACAUUGCUGGAGAACUCCUCGUCAUUUGCAGCGCCUUGCAAAACUUUUUCACAUUUUGUCUCAUUCAGACCCAAAGAUUCAACAUCCAUGAAAGUUUUUAAGUAAAAAUAUACCAAAAACAAAGUUGUGCAUCAUUGUGAAGUGGAAGGAAACGUAUUCUCAGUGUGAGAAAUGGAAAAGAAGGGUUAGGUUGAACGUCUCACUGAGUUCUGUUCAGUCCGUCAUGUGACAGUAAGGAAAGAGUGGCACAGCUGCAAACUAACCCAGACAAAGCUGUCCACCUAACCUGACAGUUAAUUAGAGGAGCAGCCAGCUCAGACAGGAGAACCUGUUGACAAGAUAAUCAGUAGUUACACACGUCAGAGCUCUGGUUCUUAUGGAAGCGAUUGCUGAACGAAAGCGGCUUGUAACAAGGGAAGUAUGAGACACAGCAAACGUGUGGAAGAAGAUGCUCUGAUUGGAUGAAGACAACAUUUGUUUUUCGGCUGGGUAUGGAGGAGACUAACAAUUCACAUUACACACCGUCACAGAGGUGGCGGCAGCAUUAUUCUGUGCAAGAAAACCGCUCAUUGGCUGCAGAGGAAUUAAAACUGGGGUCAAAGUUUAACUUCCGGCAUCACAACACACAGACAGAGCUACAGCGGAAUGGUUUUGAUAAAAGCAUGCGCAUGUUUUAGAAUGGCCUAGUCAAAGCCCAGAUGUAAAUCCAAUUAGGAAUCUACGGUGAGACUGGACAAUUAUGUCCACACGUUCGCAAGCUGACAGAGCUUGGGCUAUUAAGAAUUAUCAAAAAUUUCCAGAUGUGCAAAAUGACUUGCAGCUGUCUGAGGGUUUGUAUCGACUCAGAGGACUGAAAACAAAAACAAGCCACACACUUCAGAUUCAGGAAAAUAAAACUUCCAUUUUACAGAUUUGCGCAGCUUUGAGUUGUUCCAUCUUAAAUUGUUUCAUUGUCAUUGUAACAUGGCGAUGGAG